rnacentral:lncRNA from 1 species
GGAAAGUUAGCUAGAUUAUUGUUCAAUAGGCUCGACUGCCCCGAACGAAUAAGUGGAGCGUGGAUGGAGCCGUGGCUGUUGGAAGCAGCAGCAGUAAGAGGUGGGGUGCUUCCAAUUCCAGCUGAUGGUUGAACUUGAAAUGUAGAGCCAAUUGAUGUUUCCAUUUGCUGUUGGUUCAGGAGCUGUGAGUGAGGUUGGUCUCGUUCGUUAUUGUUGAAGACUAGUUCUGGGUGGCCACAUGCGAAGCUUGACCUGCUCAACCUCUCAAGCUUGUCUUCGUCCCUCGCCGCAGCUUCCUUCUCCUUCAAGAAUAAACGAUACUUCUAGAAAUUCAUAUACGUGCGCAAACCAUCAUUAACUAACAAACAUCUAUACUAGCAUAUCCAUAUACAUUUGAGGUUUCUUCAACCUGUACUUGGUUCGCAGCAGGGUCCUGCACUUCAACUUGAUAAGGAAGUUGAUCGUGACCUCCAUCUUGUUGCCACACACAUUGAAAUAAACAAUUUUGUGGAGAGAGAGAGAGAGAGCUGAAAUAAUAUAUAUUAGCAAGAAUGAAAGAAAAUCAUAAAUUUCUGGUGCAUAUGUACCUGAGAAGGAGGUUGACAGUUGUCCUGCUCAUCCGUGAAAAGAGAAUCGGGCUUCAUGUAGAUAUCAUGAAGAUACCUAUUGGAAUUUUCAACAUUUCCUCCUCCAACAUUGAUAUUUAGCAGACCACAUUGGUCAUUAAAAUUCCCUUCUGGGGGUGGCAACACUGGAACAUUUUGUUGCGGAUCAAGAUCACCUUUGUUGUCAGGCAAAUUUGGAGGGAACUGGUAUGCAGAACUAGCACCAGUCUCAAAACCAGCAGAACACAACGACUGCCAAUCAACUUCGCAUUGAUUUACAUCGUUAAAAUGAGACCACAAGUUAUGAAAGCUCGAAGACAUUGGAGUUAAAUUCGAACCGUUCUGAUUUACUGAUGUAGCAAGGUUGUAGCUGAAUGGGUUAUUGGUCCCUGGCUGGCUUUGUAGUGGGUAUACUUGCAUCAGAUUAUUUUUCCCAAUAUUAUUGUUGGUAAGUCCCACAUUAUUCAUUGGGUCAAAAGACAUACCUCCAUUUUCAAAAUUGUUACUCAGUUGUUGCAUUUCAAAAGCUGCCGGGCGGUUUUCUUGAAUAAACAGCUGAUCCCCAUUACGAUUACCAAGCGUUCGUUGCUGGCGCGGAAAGUUAGCUAGAUUAUUGUUCAAUAGGCUCGACUGCCCCGAACGAAUAAGUGGAGCGUGGAUGGAGCCGUGGCUAUUGGAAGCAACAGCAGUAAGAGGUGGGGUGCUUCCAAUUCCAGCUGAUGGUUGAACUUGAAAUGUAGAGCCAAUUGAUGUUUCCAUUUGCUGUUGGUUCAGGAGCUGUGAGUGAGGUUGGUCUCGUUCGUUAUUGUUGAAGACUAG